rnacentral:rRNA from 1 species
UGGGGAAUUUUGGACAAUGGGGGAAACCCUGAUCCAGCCAUCCCGCGUGUGCGAUGAAGGCCUUCGGGUUGUAAAGCACUUUUGGCAGGAAAGAAACGUCGCGGGUUAAUACCCCGCGAAACUGACGGUACCUGCAGAAUAAGCACCGGCUAACUACGUGCCAGCAGCCGCGGUAAUACGUAGGGUGCAAGCGUUAAUCGGAAUUACUGGGCGUAAAGCGUGCGCAGGCGGUUCGGAAAGAAAGAUGUGAAAUCCCAGAGCUUAACUUUGGAACUGCAUUUUUAACUACCGGGCUAGAGUGUGUCAGAGGGAGGUGGAAUUCCGCGUGUAGCAGUGAAAUGCGUAGAUAUGCGGAGGAACACCGAUGGCGAAGGCAGCCUCCUGGGAUAACACUGACGCUCAUGCACGAAAGCGUGGGGAGCAAACAGGAUUAGAUACCCUGGUAGUCCACGCCCUAAACGAUGUCAACUAGCUGUUCGGGGCCUUCGGCCUUGGUAGGCUCAGCUAACGCGUGAAGUUGACCGCCUGGGGAGUACGGUCGCAAGAUUAAAACUCAAAUGAAUUGACGGGGUCGAU